AAUCACGUGACACGUAACCCCCUCCCCCAGCAUGCUUUGCGCGCCGGCCGUGGAUUUUCAACAGGAAGCGGAAGUGGGGAGAGCUACGAAGUUUUAAACGACUGCAGGUGUCCAGGGUCAGGAGAGGCUUUACCUGGUGCAGCUGCCAGCCUGGCCAGAGGGAGAAAGCAGCCAGGAUCACCCAGCUCUGGUGAUGGCCGGACACCGCCCCCCCCUCCUCCUCCCUUCCAGGCUGCUGAGGAGCACAGCUGAGCUGAGUCCUCCUGAUGAGCCACACCUGGAUAAAAGAGCUGUGCCUUCAGAGUCUGGGAGGCAGCAGUGCAGGAGUUCUGCUGUUCUCCAUUCGUUUUGUUUUAGUUCGUUCGUUCGUUCGUUCGUUCGUUCGUUCGUUCUGUAUGAGUUUAACUUUUAUAGUUUAAACUCUUGAGUGAUCCUGUGGGAUCUUGUGUUCGUUGGUUUUUAAGGUUAACUUUGUUUGUUGCAAUUUUAUUGACAUGGUUUUUAAAUACCUUUGUUUGGUAAAACUUAAGUUUUAACCAGGUGUUUAAGUCAGUAAAUUGUUUUAUAUCAACUUCGCGGUGCUUUUAGAACACCUUCUUGCGGUGAAGCUUUUAACAAAUUUUUAACCAGGUGUUUUUUAUAGUUGAUAAUUUGUCGUUUAAUAUUAACCUUUUUGAAAGUUUGAGUGUGUUGCAUUAUUUUUAUAAUGCCCGUCGUAUGCUUGCUUGUGUUUUAGAACCUUUGUAUAACAAUAAAACCCUUUUAAUAUCCAC